AGAAAUAAAUACUGCAGUGUCCAGUGAAGAAUAAAAUUGGUGGCAAGACAUGUACAACAGAUUUUGCUAUAAUGCAUUCAGGAAGGGGCUUUGCUUCCUUGAAAGAAUGAGAAAUGAAACGUGGGAUGCUCUGAAGAGCUGACUCUUCAGUAAAAGGAGCUGGAUAUAAAUGCAAACGAGGCAGGCGAUAGCGAAGCGGAAAGUGCUGCCGUCUAGUUCACCUCUUGCUACA